CCGGAAUUAUUGGGCGUAAAGAGCUCGUAGGUGGUUUGUUGCGUCGGGUGUGAAAUUCAGGGGCUCAACCCCUGACCUGCACUCGAUACGGGCAGACUAGAGUUUGGUAGGGGAGACUGGAAUUCCUGGUGUAGCGGUGGAAUGCGCAGAUAUCAGGAGGAACACCAAUGGCGAAGGCAGGUCUCUGGGCCAUUACUGACACUGAGGAGCGAAAGCGCGGGGAGCGAACAGGAUUAGAUACCCUGGAGUCCGCGCCGUAAACGAUGGGCGCUAGUUGUGGGGAACCUUCCACGGUUUUUG
rnacentral:rRNA from 1 species